rfam:Triticum aestivum genome assembly, contig: Triticum_aestivum_CS42_TGACv1_scaffold_224825_3B
CAAGUACUCCCUCCGUCCGAAAAUUCUUGUCAUGAAAAUGGAUAAAAAUGAAUGUAUUAGUUCUAGAUACAUCCUUUUUAUCCAUUUUGAUGACAAGUAUUUUCGGACUGAGGAAGUAGUAG